rnacentral:rRNA from 1 species
GACGAACGCUGGCGGCGUGCUUAACACAUGCAAGUCGAACGAUGAAGCCGGAGCUUGCUCUGGUGAAUUAGUGGCGAACGGGUGAGUAACACGUGAGUAACCUGCCCUUGACUCUGGGAUAACUGCUAGAAAUGGUAGCUAAUACCGGAUACGACCCUCGGAGGCAUCUCCAGGGGGUGGAAAGAAUUUCGGUCAAGGAUGGACUCGCGGCCUAUCAGCUAGUUGGUGAGGUAAUGGCUCACCAAGGCGACGACGGGUAGCCGGCCUGAGAGGGUGACCGGCCACACUGGGACUGAGACACGGCCCAGACUCCUACGGGAGGCAGCAGUGGGGAAUAUUGCACAAUGGGCGCAAGCCUGGUGCAGCAACGCCGCGUGAGGGAUGACGGCCUUCGGGUUGUAAACCUCUUUUAGUAGGGAAGAAGCGAAAGUGAUGGUACCUGCAGAAAAAGCACCGGCUAACUACGUGCCAGCCGCCGCGGUAA